rnacentral:tRNA from 1 species
CAAUCUUUCGCUCACGCGCUGAGCGCAUUCUUUGAAUGCGAGCGAUGCGCGAGCGCGGCCCAGAUGGGCGCGACGGACUAGCGUCCUGUAUUGGUGCUGAAUGAUUUAUUGGUUGGCUGGAUACAAGGGCUUGUAGCUCAGUUGGUUAGAGCACACGCUUGAUAAGCGUGGGGUCGGAGGUUCAAGUCCUCCCAGGCCCACCAAAUAUGUGAUAAGGGGCCAUAGCUCAGCUGGGAGAGCACCUGCUUUGCAAGCAGGGGGUCGUCGGUUCGAUCCCGUCUGGCUCCACCAUCACUUUGUUUGGUGUGGAGUAGGACGGCAGUCAAUCAUCGAGGAAAGAAGCCAGUUUGCGGACUUUACGAAGUCUGCCUGUUCUGUAUGAAAUCGUGAAGAGAAGAAGUAAUCGGAUCAACUAUCCAGUUGAUGUCGCAAUGGUUUGCUCAAACCUUGCAUUAUGAUUGGACGCUAACCGCGCCACCGAUUGUAUCUCGAGAAGCUGGUCUUUCUGCUGAUAACGUUGAAGCUGAACAAGCAUUUGCAGUCAAAUGGCAACAUUUGACGUGGCAUAAUGCGUUGUAAGAAUGUUUGAUGGAUAUG